rnacentral:rRNA from 1 species
CAACCUGAUGGUAGUCUAUUAGUCUACCAUGGUUAUUACGGGUAACGGAGAAUAAGGGUUCGACUCCGGAGAGGGAGCCUUAGAAACGGCUACCACAUCCAAGGAAGGCAGCAGGCGCGAAACUUAUCCAAUCUUGAAUAGAUGAGAUAGUGACUAAAAAUAAAAAGACCAUUCCUAUGGAACGGUCAUUUCAAUGAGUUGAUCAUAAACCUUUUUUCGAGGAUCAAGUGGAGGGCAAGUCUGGUGCCAGCAGCCGCGGUAAUUCCAGCUCCACUAGUGUAAAUCGUCAUUGCUGCGGUUAAAAAGCUCGUAGUUGGAUCUGAGUCGCAUGCAGUAGUUCGCCUUUGGCGUUAAUUAUUGUUGUGACUAUUUGCUGGUUUUCUAUUGAAAUCUCGAUUUCUUUAGUGGCUAGCGAGUUUACUUUGAAUAAAUUAGAGUGCUCAGAACAAGCGUUUGCUUGAAUGAUCGAUCAUGGAAUAAUAAAAGAGGACUU